ensembl:lincRNA 1700065J18Rik RIKEN cDNA 1700065J18 gene
GGAGAAAAGGUUUGCCAUACAAGCAUGAGGGUCUACCCAGCUCCCAUGUCAAGAGCCAGUUACAUGAAGGAUACAGACCUAACUUCAGUGGAGGAAACCUGCCACCUUGUCUGCUGUUUAGCCCUGAUGUUGGCAUCUCCUGGUGCUCUGUCAGGACGAGGGCAACCGGUACAGUUGUAUGUGCCACAAUUUUCUGACUGGCCAUGCUUCACUGGAGUCUGCUUCCUGCGUGGCUCCUGAUACCCAGCCCUUGUGUGACAAACGAGCAUGUCGGACCUUCUAAGUCUCUAUUGCUUUGGAAGAUCACAUCAAAGAGGUUUUACUAAUGAAUAAUGGUUACUGAAGGGA